CUACCGACAUCGCAAGAUGAAGGGUUGCCUUGAUGGAAGUCAGCCGAGGCCAUAGUAGGGGUAACCUGAAGGGC
rfam:Sutterella sp. CAG:521 genomic scaffold, scf78